rnacentral:rRNA from 1 species
CAAAACUGAUUCAAGCGGUUGCCAAUUGUACUGUACCUAAAAUUUCAAUCGUUGUGGCAGGGUCAUAUGGUGCUGGUAACUACGCAAUGUGUGGUCGGAGUUUAUCGCCAGAUUUUAUUUUUGCUUGGCCGAACUCGCAUGUUGCUGUAAUGGGGGCUGCACAGGCCGGAAAGGUGCUACGCAUUGUGGCUGAAGGAAAACAAAAAGCUUCCGGUCAGGAACCGAAUCCGCAAAUGCUCGAUUUUCUUGAGCAAAGUACGGCCAUGAAAUUAGAGCAGCAAUCUACCGCGCUUUUCAAUACGGCCAUGCUACAUGACGACGGCAUUAUUGACCCGCGAGAUACCCGAAAAUUACUUAUUUUCCUUUUACAAACCAUUUAUGAAGCACAGCAACGCGAACUAAAUCCGACCCGUUUUGGUGUGUCUCGUUUUUAAUCAAUCUUUACCGUAAUUAAAAAAAUUAAUAGGAACAACACCAUGAAAUUUACUGCCGAACAUGAAGCAUUACGUCGCACAGCGCGUCAAUUUGUUGAAAAUGAACUGAAUCCGAAUAUUCCAGAAUGGGAAGAAGCUGGACGUUUCCCGAUCCACGAUGUAUUUAAAAAGAUGGGUGAUCUUGGCCUAUUGGGGAUUUGUAAGCCUGAGGAAAAUGGUGGUCUGGCUUUAGAUUACUCUUAUAACUUGGUUGUGGCUGAAGAAAUUGGACGCGCAGCUUGCGGUGGUGUGCCUUUAGCCAUUGGUGUACAAACCGAUAUGGCAACACCUGCUUUGGCGCGUUUUGGUAGCAAAGAAUUACGUGAUGAGUUUUUAACACCAGCCAUUGCUGGAGAAUAUGUUGCCUCAAUUGCAGUAUCAGAAGUGCAUGCUGACGUGAGUAACGACAAAACGGGUGAAAAACCCGUUCGCCGAAAGACCAAGGGUUCCAGUCCAACGUUAAUCGGGGCUGGGUGAGUCGACCCCUAAGGCGAGGCCGAAAGGCGUAGUCGAUGGGAAAAUGGUUAAUAUUCCAUUACUUCUGUGUAAUGCGAUGAGAGGACGGAGAAGGCUAAAUCAGCCUGGCGUUGGUUGUCCAGGUGAAAGGAUGUAGGCAUGUAUCUUAGGCAAAUCCGGGGUACUCUAUGCUGAGAUCUGAUAGCAAGCUGUACUUGUACAGCGAAGUGGUUGAUGCCAUGCUUCCAGGAAAAGUCUCUAAGCUUCAGUUACACAGGAAUCGUACCCGAAACCGACACAGGUGGUCAGGUCGAGUAGACCAAGGCGCUUGAGAGAACUCUGCUGAAGGAACUAGGCAAAAUGGUACCGUAACUUCGGGAGAAGGUACGCUGUUGUUGGUGAUGGAACUCGCUUCCUGAGCUGACGACAGCCGCAGAAACCAGGCCGCUGCAACUGUUUAUUAAAAACAUAGCACUCUGCAAACACGAAAGUGGACGUAUAGGGUGUGAUGCCUGCCCGGUGCUGGAAGGUUAAUUGAUGGGGUUAGCGUAAGCGAAGCUCUUGAUCGAAGCCCCAGUAAACGGCGGCCGUAACUAUAACGGUCCUAAGGUAGCGAAAUUCCUUGUCGGGUAAGUUCCGACCUGCACGAAUGGCAUAAUGAUGGCGGCGCUGUCUCCAGCAGAGGCUCAGUGAAAUCGAAAUCGCUGUGAAGAUGCAGUGUACCCGCGGCUAGACGGAAAGACCCCGUGAACCUUUACUGCAGCUUGACACUGAACUUUGACCUUACUUGUGUAGGAUAGGUGGGAGGCUUUGAAGCUGGAACGCUAGUUCCAGUGGAGCCGUCCUUGAAAUACCACCCUGGUAAUGUUGAGGUUCUAACUCUGUCCCGUGAUCCGGGACGAGGACCGUGUCUGGUGGGUAGUUUGACUGGGGCGGUCUCCUCCUAAAGAGUAACGGAGGAGUACGAAGGUGCGCUCAGCGUGGUCGGAAAUCACGCGUAGAGUAUAAAGGCAAAAGCGCGCUUAACUGCGAGACCCACAAGUCGAGCAGGUACGAAAGUAGGUCUUAGUGAUCCGGUGGUUCUGUAUGGAAGGGCCAUCGCUCAACGGAUAAAAGGUACUCUGGGGAUAACAGGCUGAUACCGCCCAAGAGUUCAUAUCGACGGCGGUGUUUGGCACCUCGAUGUCGGCUCAUCUCAUCCUGGGGCUGAAGCAGGUCCCAAGGGUAUGGCUGUUCGCCAUUUAAAGAGGUACGCGAGCUGGGUUUAGAACGUCGUGAGACAGUUCGGUCCCUAUCUACCGUGGGCGCUGGAAAUUUGAGAGGAUCUGCUCCUAGUACGAGAGGACCAGAGUGGACGAACCUCUGGUGUACCGGUUGUGACGCCAGUCGCAUCGCCGGGUAGCUAUGUUCGGAAGGGAUAACCGCUGAAAGCAUCUAAGCGGGAAGCCUACCUCAAGAUAAGAUUUCCCUAGGACUUUAUGUCCUCUAAAGAGCCGUUCGAGACUAGGACGUUGAUAGGUUGGAUGUGGAAGCAUAGUGAUAUGUGAAGCUGACCAAUACUAAUUGCUCGUGAGGCUUGACUAU